AUUGAACGCUGGCGGCAUGCCUUACACAUGCAAGUCGAACGGUAACAGGUCUUCGGAUGCUGACGAGUGGCGAACGGGUGAGUAAUACAUCGGAACGUGCCUAGUAGUGGGGGAUAACUACUCGAAAGAGUGGCUAAUACCGCAUGAGAUCUACAGAUGAAAGCAGGGGAUCGCAAGACCUUGUGCUACUAGAGCGGCCGAUGGCAGAUUGGUAGUUGGUGGGAUAAAAGCUUACCAAGCCGACGAUCUGUAGCUGGUCUGAGAGGACGAUCAGCCACACUGGGACUGAGACACGGCCCAGACUCCUACGGGAGUCAGCAGUGGGGAAUUUUGGACAAUGGGCGCAAGCCUGAUCCAGCAAUGCCGCGUGCAGGAUGAAGGCCUUCGGGUUGUAAACUGCUUUUGUACGGAACGAAAAGCCCCGGGUUAAUACCCUGGGGUCAUGACGGUACCGUAAGAAUAAGCACCGGCUAACUACGUGCCAGCCGCCGCCGUAA
rnacentral:rRNA from 1 species